GAUGAACGCUAGCGGCAGGCUUAACACAUGCAAGUCGAGGGGUAUUGGUUUUCGGACCAAGAGACCGGCGCACGGGUGCGUAACGCGUAUGCAAUCUACCUUUUGCAGAGGGAUAGCCCAGAGAAAUUUGGAUUAAUACCUCAUAGUAUAGUACUUUGGCAUCAAGGAACUAUUAAAGUCACAACGGCAAAAGAUGAGCAUGCGUCCUAUUAGCUAGUUGGUAAGGUAACGGCUUACCAAGGCUACGAUGGGUAGGGGUUCUGAGAGGGAGAUCCCCCACACUGGUACUGAGACACGGACCAGACUCCUACGGGAGGCAGCAGUGAGGAAUAUUGGACAAUGGGCGCAAGCCUGAUCCAGCCAUGCCGCGUGCAGGAUGACGGUCCUAUGGAUUGUAAACUGCUUUUAUACAGGAAGAAACACUCCGACGUGUCGGAGCUUGACGGUACUGUAAGAAUAAGGAUCGGCUAACUCCGUGCCAGCAGCCGCGGU
rnacentral:rRNA from 1 species